UGAACUUGUAGCCCAAUGUAAAGUGCAUUACAGAAGUCCAACCUUGAGGUCACCAGAGCAUGCACUACCAUCUUUAGUUCU
rnacentral:snoRNA from 11 species